rnacentral:rRNA from 1 species
UAGGGAAUCUUCCACAAUGGACGCAAGUCUGAUGGAGCAACGCCGCGUGAGUGAAGAAGGUUUUCGGACCGUAAAGCUCUGUUGUUGGUGAAGAAGGAUGGAGGUAGUAACUGGCCUUUAUUUGACGGUAAUCAACCAGAAAGUCACGGCUAACUACGUGCCAGCAGCCGCGGUAAUACGUAGGUGGCAAGCGUUGUCCGGAUUUAUUGGGCGUAAAGCGAGCGCAGGCGGAAGAAUAAGUCUGAUGUGAAAGCCCUCGGCUUAACCGAGGAAUUGCAUCGGAAACUGUUUUUCUUGAGUGCAGAAGAGGAGAGUAGAACUCCAUGUGUAGCGGUGGAAUGCGUAGAUAUAUGGAAGAAUACCAGUGGCGAAGGCGGCUCUCUGGUCUGCAACUGACGCUGAGGCUCGAAAGCAUGGGUAGCGAACAGGAUUAGAUACCCUGGUAGUCCAUGCCGUAAACGAUGAGUGCUAAGUGUUGGGAGGCUUCCGCCUCUCAGUGCUGCAGCUAACGCAUUAAGCACUCCGCCUGGGGGAGUACGACCGCAAGGUUGAAAC